ACCCCUCUUCCUCCCCGGGGCCUUCCACCUCCGCGAGUUUUAUGACUUAAAAAAGCCCACAGGCUGGUCUGAAGAGGAAGACAAACAUAAAGAUGAAGUGCUUAAUUCAAGGUCACACAAUGUCGGGGAUGGACCUCCAGAUUUCCUUACUGACCUGCAUUAUCUUGUGGAUACCUGAGUGAAUUCCACACCACCCAUUUUAUAGAUGAAACCACUGAGACAUGGAGCAAUUGACUGAGUAGUCACUGCCCCACCCCUGCCUGGAGCCUCACACAUGACUCGCCUCCUCUCAGUGACCACAGGUUGGUUGAGGGGUUUAACAAGGCUAAGAAGGUGAGACGUGGUCUUGUAACACAGUGGUUAAGAAUGUGACUUUGGAGCCAGCCUGCUAGGGGCUGAAUUCUGACUCAGCCAUUUACUAACUGUGUGACCUUAGGUGGAGUCUCACUCUGUAGCCCAAGCUGGAGUGGCGUGAUCUCGACUCACUGCAACCUCCGCCUCCUGGGAUCAAGUGAUUCUCGUGCCUCAGCCUCCUGAGUAGCCGGGACUACAGGUCACAGAAUUUUCCACACUCCUUGACAGAGGUGCUUAACCCUUAUCCAUCAGCAUUCUCAGACAGCACCUCCGGUUAGGGACAGUAUCUGACCGUCCGACAUCCCUGCAGCCCCCAUGUGUCACACAGACUCAGCCUCAGGUAGAUGGUUUCCGUAGAUGGUGGCUUUCUUUGGACCCUUGACAUCAACCAGUUACUAUUUGCUCCUGCAACCACCGCUGUACUUUCUGUCUCUAUGAACUUGACUACUCUAGACACCUCAUGGGACCAGAUGUGCAGAGGUAAUGAAUACCAGGGAAUCAGGAAACCACUGGAUCAGUUCUUUGAGCCACAGAACAACACUCAUCCCAGCAGCUGGGAAGCUAUCUGCAAAAGUCCAUCUGCAGAAAGGGCUUCCUGGUCUUGCGUGUGGCUGGGCCAUUUCUCUGGAUGCAGGUUUUUCAUUAUACAGUCUUCUCAAAGAACCACCUGCUCUCAACACCUUCUCGGUGACUCCAUUUCCCCUCCUCU
rnacentral:lncRNA from 10 species